CAGCCGCCACGGUAAUACGUAGGGUGCAAGCGUUAAUCGGAAUUACUGGGCGUAAAGCGUGCGCAGGCGGUUUGUUAAGACAGAUGUGAAAUCCCCGGGCUCAACCUGGGAACUGCAUUUGUGACUGGCAAGCUAGAGUGUGGCAGAGGGUGGUGGAAUUCCGCGUGUAGCAGUGAAAUGCGUAGAUAUGCGGAGGAACACCGAUGGCGAAGGCAGCCCCCUGGGCCAACACUGACGCUCAUGCACGAAAGCGUGGGGAGCAAACAGGAUUAGAUACCCCCGUAGUCCCUGUCUCUUAUAC
rnacentral:rRNA from 1 species